rnacentral:rRNA from 1 species
CCCAAGCGGCAGCUUACCAUGACAGUCGAGGGGUAGAGGCCUUCGGGCCUUGAGACCGGCGCACGGGUGCGUAACGCGUAUGCAAUCUGCCUUCCACAGAGGGAUAGCCCAGAGAGAUUUGGAUUAAUACCUCAUAGCAUCAUGACCCGGCAUCGGGAUAUGAUUAAAGUCACAACGGUGGAAGAUGAGCACGCGUCCCAUUAGCUAGUUGGUAAGGUAACGGCUUACCAAGGCUACGAUGGGUAGGGGUCCUGAGAGGGAGAUCCCCCACACUGGUACUGAGACACGGAUCCAGACUCAUACGGGAGGCAGCAGUGAGGAAUAUUGGUCAAUGGGCGCAAGCCUGAACCAGCCAUGCCGCGUGCAGGAUGACGGUCCUAUGGAUUGUAAACUGCUUUUGUACGGGAAGAAACCCUCCUACGUGUAGGAGCUUGACGGUACCGUAAGAAUAAGGAUCGGCUAACUCCGUGCCAGCAGCCGCGGUAAUACGGAGGAUCCAAGCGUUAUCCGGAAUCAUUGGGUUUAAAGGGUCUGUAGGCGGUCUUGUAAGUCAGUGGUGAAAGCCCAUCGCUCAACGGUGGAACGGCCAUUGAUACUGCUGGACUUGAAUUAUUGGGAAGCAACUAGAAUAUGUAGUGUAGCGGUGAAAUGCUUAGAGAUUACAUGGAAUACCAAUUGCGAAGGCAGGUUGCUACCAAUGGAUUGACGCUGAUGGACGAAAGCGUGGGUAGCGAACAGGAUUAGAUACCCUGGUAGUCCACGCCGUAAACGAUGGAUACUAGCUGUUGGGCGCAAGUUCAGUGGCUAAGCGAAAGUGAUAAGUAUCCCACCUGGGGAGUACGAACGCAAGUUUGAAACUCAAAGGAAUUGACGGGGGCCCGCACAAGCGGUGGAGCAUGUGGUUUAAUUCGAUGAUACGCGAGGAACCUUACUCAAGGCUUAAAUGCAGACUGACCGGUUUGGAAACAGACCUUUCGCAAGACAGUCUACAACGUGCUGC